rnacentral:rRNA from 1 species
UUAAGCUACAAAGAGCGUAGGGAGAAUGCCUAGGUACCAAGAGCCGAAGAAGGACGUGAUAAGCUGCGAAAAGCCACGGGGAGGAGCAAAUAUCCAUCGAGCCGUGGGUGUCCGAAUGAGGGAACUCAUACAGUAAAAAAAGACUGUAUAUCCAUACAUGAGUAAAGUAGUGUAUAGGAAGGGAACGUGGGGAACUGAAACAUCUUAGUACCCAUAGGAAAAGAAAGUAACAACGAUUCCUGAAGUAGUGGCGAGCGAAACAGGAAGAGCCCAAACCAUGGAUAGUAAUAUUUGUGGGGUUCGGAUUAUCAAUAAAGCCAAGAAUGAUGUUAGUAGAAUUACCAGGGAAGGUAAACCAAAGAAGGUGAAAGUCCUGUAUAUGAAAACAGAGUGAAGGCGAGAUAAAUCCAGAGUAGUGCGAGACACGAGAAAUCUCGUAUGAAAGAGCGGAGACCAUUCCGUAAGGCUAAAUACUACUUGGUAACCGAUAGAGAACAAGUACCGUGAGGGAACGGUGAAAAGGACCCCGGGAGGGGAGUGAAAGAGAACCUGAAACCCUAUGUUUACAAGCAGAUAGAGCGAUUUAAGGCGCGAUAUCGUACUUUUUGUAGAACGGUCCAGCGAGUUAUUGUAUAUGGCGAGGUUAAGUUCUGAAUAAGGAAUGGAGCCGAAGAGAAAUCGAGUCUGAAGAGGGCGAUAUAAGUCAUAUAUAAUAGACCCGAAACCGGGUGACCUAUCCAUGGUCAGGAUGAAGCUAAAGUAAAAUUUAGUGGAGGUCCGAACUGAUUGUCGUUAAAAAGGCACCGGAUGAACUGUGGAUAGCGGAGAAAUUCCAAUCGAACUCGGAGAUAGCUGGUUCUCCUCGAAAUAGCUUUAGGGCUAGCCUUGAGGUCAAAGAAUUAUGGGGGUAGAGCACUGAAUGAGGUAGGGGCCAAACCAGGUUACCAAACUCUAUCAAACUACGAAUACCAUAAUUAGAAUACUCAGGAGUCAGACUGCGGGAGCUAAGUUCCGUGGUCAAAAGGGAAAGAGCCCAGACCGACAAUUAAGGUCCCAAAGAUAUAGUUAAGUGGAAAACGAUGUGAAUUUGCAUAAACAACCAGGAUGUUGGCUCAGAAGCAGCCACUCAUUCAAAGAGUGCGUAACAGCUCACUGGUCGAGUGAAUUUGCGCGGAAAAUUACCGGGGCUAAACUAUACACCGAAAUUUCGGAUUUGUGAAUGUCUAAUAAUGUGUAUUAUUAAGAAAUAAAUUUUCUUUUGUCACGAAGUGACAAACAAAAUGAAAAAAUGAUAAAGAAUACACGAAAAGGAAAAUGAUGCAUAUUAUUAGACAUUUGCAAGUGGUAGAGGAGCAUUCUGUAGUAGGAAGAAGUCAAAGCGAGAGCAUUGGUGGACGAAGCAGAAGAGAGAAUGCUGGAAUAAGUAGCGAGAGCAAGGUGAGAAUCCUUGCCGUCGAAAGUCUAAGGUUUCCUGGGGAAGGUUCGUCCGCCCAGGGUAAGUCGGGGCCUAAGGAGAGGCCGAAAGGCGUAUCUGAUGGACAGCAGGUGGAGAUUCCUGCACUAUAGCUAGUUUUAAAAGAUGCAAGGGACGCAGUAGAGGAAGAUAACCAAGGAAGAGGAAAAACUUGGUCCGCAAGGGAUAGUGAAAAUUAAUAGUAACGAAAUAUCAAGAAUCACACUGACGAGAAAAGCUUGUAGAUAUUAACUAGAAAUACCCGUACCGCAAACCGACACAGGUAGAUGAGGAGAGGAUCCUAAGACGAGCGGGAGAAGCAUUGUUAAGGAACUCGGCAAAAUAACCCCGUAACUUCGGGAGAAGGGGAGCCUAAGUAAAAUUAGGUCGCAGAGAAAAGGCCCAAGCAACUGUUUAACAAAAACACAGGUUUCUGCAAAAUCGAAAGAUGAAGUAUAGGAGCUGACGCCUGCCCAGUGCUGGAAGGUUAAGGGAAAGAGUUAGGUGUAAACCGAAGCUUAGAACUAAAGCCCCAGUGAACGGCGGCCGUAACUAUAACGGUCCUAAGGUAGCGAAAUUCCUUGUCAGGUAAG